rnacentral:sRNA from 1 species
AGCAGCAUCAGGCCUGCCUCACGCUCAUCACCAACGAGCUGAAGCAGGACACCACCAACGCCGAUGUCUACAUCCUCCGGGCCAGACUCUACAACUUUCUCCAGAAGCCCCACCUCUGCUACCGGGAUCUGCACAGCGCCUUGCUGUUGAAUCCCAAGCACCCGCAGGCCAGGAUGCUGCUCCAGAAGAUGGUGGCCCAGGCCCAGCAGGCGCGCCAAGAUGCGGGGAUCCUGGCUGUGCAGGGCAAGCUGCAGCACGCACUGCAGCGGAUCAACCGUGCCAUCGAGAACAACCCUCUGGACCCCAGUCUCUUCCUCUUCCGGGGCACCAUGUACCGACGGCUCCAGGAGUUUGAUGGGGCAGUGGAGGACUUCCUGAAGGUGCUGGACAUGGUGACCGAGGACCAGGAGGACAUGGUACGGCAGGCACAGCGCCAGCUGUUGCUGACCUACAACGACUUUGCCGUGCACUGCUACAGGCAGGGCGCCUACCAGGAGGGCGUGCUGCUGCUGAACAAGGCCCUCCGGGACGAGCAGCAGGAGAAAGGACUCUACAUCAACCGAGGCGGUGCGCAGCGACCAGGGCACUGGGGAGGGGGGGUGCGGGGGAGCCUCGCCAUCUCUAAGGCCCCCACUGGGCACUUGAGGCCCCUGGGGGGAAGGAGGAAGGGAGAGAGGAAGGAAGCAAGGGAAGAGGAAAUGUAAUAGUCUCAGUAUCCCAGGAACACACUUUGGGAAAUGUUGCCUUAGACAAACUGGCUCCAGACUCCUUAAAAUGCUCAAAACAGGCAGCUGGGGAACAGUGCCCAGACGCCCAGAAAACUAGAGAGGACGGAGACCGCGGCGGGGUGUUAUCAGCCACCAGUUUCAGGCCCUGGCCCCCGGGCUGGAGCCGGCUGGGCUGGGGCUCCCGGGCACUGGGAGUUGGGGGUCCACUCACCCCCGCCUCCGGACCCUAGAUUGCUUCUUCCAGCUGGGCAACCUGGCCUUUGCCGAGGCGGACUACCAGCAGGCGCUGGCGCUGAGCCCUCAGGACGAGGGCGCCAACACGCGCAUGGGCCUGCUGCAGGAGAAGAUGGGCUUCUGCGAGCAGAGGCGCAGGCAGUUCCAGAAGGCAGAGAACCACUUCUCCACGGCCAUCCGGCACAACCCCCAGAAGGCCCAGUACUACCUGUACCGGGCCAAGAGCCGGCAGCUGCUGCAGAACAUUUUUGGGGCCCGCCAGGAUGUGGCCACUGUCCUGCUCCUCAACCCCAAGCAACCAAAGCUGUCCCUGCUGAUGACCAACCUCUUCCCGGGCAUGUCGGUGGAGGAGGUGCUUAGCACCCAGAUAGCCCACCUGGCCAGGCUGCAGCUGGAGCAGAUGGUGGAGGGCAGCCUGCAGGCCGGCAGCCCACAAGGCAUUGUGGGGAUGCUUAAGCGGCAGGAGUUGGAGCGCCAGAAGGCCUUGGCCCUGCAGCACUCAUGGAAGCAGGGGGAGCCUUUGAUUGCGACCUCCGAGGAGCUGAAGGCCACCCCUGAGAUUCCGCAGGUAAAACCGGGAAGCUCAGAGGGAGAGGCUGAGGCCCCUGAGGAGGAGGAAGAAAAGGAGAAGGAGAAAAAAGAGGAGAAAAAAUCAGAGCUCAUACCUAGCAAGGUGGCGUCCCUAUCUGACAGCUACCUUGACCAGACCUCUUCAGCCUCCAGCAUGAGCUUCAGGACCACAAGCACCUCAGAGACUGAGACGUCGGCUAUCUGCCAGGAAUACAGGAGCACCUCAGCCACCGCCGUGACAUUCUCUGACUCGUCACUGUUGAAGAUGCAAUCCUCGGACUCUGGGAACAACAGGGAGGCACUAAGCCAUGGUCCCAGAAAAAUCAAGGCCACCCAGGGCCAGAGGCAGAGCCUUAGCAAGACCGAGGCCACCCAGAGCCAGAGGCGGAACUCCAGCAAGACCAAGGCCACUAUACACAAGAGGAACUCCAGCAAGACCAAGGCCACCCAGAGCCAGAGGCAGAACUCCAGCAAGACCAGGGCCACCCAGGGCCAGGGGCAGAGCUCCAGCAAGACUGAGGCCACUCAGGGCCAGAGGCAGAGCUCCAGCGAGAUUGAGGCCACCCAGGGCCCAAGGCAGGAGCCCAGCAAGACCAAGACCACCCGGAGCCCAAGGCAGAGGCCCAGAAAGGUCAAGGCUGCUCGUGGCCGGAGCUGGAGACCCAGCAAGGUUGAUGCCACCCAGGGCCGAAGCAGGGGACUGCUCCGAAGUUCCACCAAGACUGAGGCUUUCUAUGAAUCAAACUGGAGCCUCAGCAAGACUGAGUAUGCCCAAGGCCAGGGCCAGAGGUCCAGCAAGGCUGAGGGUGCCCAGGGCAAGAGCCAGGGCAUGAGCUCAACUUCCAGCAAGGCCGAGUCCACCUGGGGACCCAGCCCAAGUCUCAGCAAAACUGAGGUUGAUCAGGACCUCACCUACUAUGAAGCUGUCUGAAGGGACCAUCCAGACCCUCCCUUCUUGCUGGCGAGGGGACGAGUUCCACCCACCUCCCCACACUGGCAUUCAGCCAGCUGCCUCCUUCCAGAGCAAUUAAAAGUCUUAGCAACAGUCCUCUGGUCCCACAGCUGAGUUUAUUAUACUUGUUCUCUUCUUUUACAAAAUUAAAAACAUCUAAAACCAG